UUUGUGAGUUACAUCUCAAUCUCAAUGUAGCUAUUAUUUUUUAAAAAUGUAGCAGAAAUGGGAGGUUGGCUUGAGCCUAAGAGUUUGAGACCAGCCUGGGCAACAUACCAAGACAGCUCUAUAAAAAAUUUAAAAAUUAGCCAGCUAAGGGGACAUAUGCUGUACAGGUCAAGUCUCAGCUCUGCUGUAUCACCUGUGAAGAAAAUACCUACUUGUUUUAUAAGGCUGAUGUGUGACCCAAAAUAAAAAAAAUGAGAUGAUGUGGUAUAUGAAUGAUCCAGUAACUGUAAAGCAUGAUGCAAAUACAUGUUCAUAUUAUCAGUUUUUUAAAAAGCAAACCUUGUUAAUAUUUAUUAUCUUAUUUUUAGAACAGAA